GGAUGAUCCGACACGAUUGACCUCACUACGGGUUCACUUGUGUUUACUGGGGAUUGCUUAUGGAAUUUUCUCCUAACUAGCUAUUUGCAGACCAACAAUUACAGGGUCCUUAAAAGUUUCAUCAGCAAUCAAGGAGUUUUUGGGGAGCAUGGUAAAUUACCAUAUUGAUGACUCGGAUAUUCAUCUUUGACUUGGGGACUGGGAUCCAUUCGAUAGCACAGGUCAGGUCAGUUCCGAAUGAGUUAGGAUGAGAGAAUGGGUAUGAAAUCCGUGGUAGCAAACGAUUUCAAGAACAAUCGUCUUCAGCAUGCACCUGUUAUAUUUAAUUUAAUAAUAUUUUACGCAACGUGUAAAAUGCUAACCUUUAAGAAACUGGUGCCCGCCCAGGGAUGAUGAAUCAACCCCACUCAUGGUUUGACAUUUAGUCAAUACACACUGGCAUACAACAGCCCAAUACAUGGGCAAUAGAACCCACACUGGUGGAGACUGUUACGCUACACUGAAACCGAUUUGCAAACCAUGCUCCAAAUGGAUAUGUAGGAUAAGCCUCUAUGAUUUCCUUAACAAUAAUAGGAUAGUGAGAAUGCGCAGAUAAAAGGCACCUUCCCAAUAUUUUAGUGAGGCUAGUGCUUCUCCAACGUCAGUUUUUCUUGUGAUAUCCAAACCCAGAGGUGCCCACUCGAUUAUAAAUAAAAAGUGCAUCUUCCCAAUAUUUUAGUGAGGCUAGUGCUUCUCCAACGUCAGUUUUGCCUGUGAUAUCCAAACCCAGAGGUGCCCACUCGGUUAUAAAUAAAAAGUGUAGAUAGUAAAUAAGUGAGGAAGAAGAUGAAUAAGGCCGUAGCCAUCUUGGUGUUGGUUUUCGUGAAGACCCUUUACUCGUUUGCUUCAGAGACCUUGCCUAACACCAUUCAUGACCAACCACUGGAAGUUCCCAGCGGUGAUAUGCCUUGCUGCAACAAGUGCAUUUGUGCAUACUCAAACCCACCUCAGUGCAGGUGCACCGAUAUAAAGAGCUACUGUGAUAACUCCUGCAAAUCUUGCCCCUGCACGAGGUCUAUCCCGCCCCAAUGUCGUUGCAGGGACAUCAAAGACCACUGCGAACCAUCUUGCCAAAAAAAAGGCCUCGAACCACUUAAACCCUAGCAACUCGCUCAUUGAGAUUCAUGUUUUCCUACCUGAAUAACUGGUGUAGCUAUCAAUGCUCUUACACUUGUGUUAUUGGUUCCUAACAUUGUAAGAGAUGUAGAGUCAGCGCCAACGUUUGGAUGCACAAGUGAACUGAAUUUCAAACUUCCAGUUCAA